rnacentral:piRNA from 2 species
UGCAACAAAACCAAAGGCCACUCCAGCAAGG